rnacentral:lncRNA from 1 species
CAGGCUCUCCGCCCUUCGCCGCCUACGUGGCCUCGCCCGCGACCUCGACAAGAACCGCUCCACCAUCUCCUCCCAGAACUCCCGCGAAAUCCUCGUUCAGCUCGUGUUCGCCGAUACCGGCUCGGAAUCUUCCGAGUUGACUCACGAGGCGCUCGCGCUUCUCGUUCUGUUCCCGCUCCCAGAGUCCGACUGCGCAGCGGUGGCGUCGGACCCGGACCGGGUAGCGUACCUGGCCCAGCUUGUUCAGCACUCGUCGAUGGAGGUCCGAGUCAACUCGGCCGCGUUGAUCGAGAACGUCCUGGCCGGGUCGCGGACGGCGGAGCUACGAGCUGAGAUUAGCAAUGUCGACGAAAUCCACCAAGGCGUCGUUUCGAUUCUC